rnacentral:rRNA from 1 species
UACGUAGGGUGCAAGCGUUUGUCCGGAAUUAUUGGGCGAAAGAGCUCGUAGGCGGUUUGUCGCGUCUGCUGUGAAAACUGGGGGCUCAACCCCCAGCCUGCAGUGGGUACGGGCAAACUAGAGUGCGGUAGGGGAGAUUGGAAUUCCUGGUGUAGCGGUGGAAUGCGCAGAUAUCAGGAGGAACACCGAUGGCGAAGGCAGAUCUCUGGGCCGUAACUGACGCUGAGGAGCGAAAGCGUGGGGGAGCGAACAGG